rnacentral:rRNA from 1 species
GACGAACGCUGGCGGCGUGCCUAAUACAUGCAAGUAGAACGCUGAAGGAGGAGCUUGCUUCUCUGGAUGAGUUGCGAACGGGUGAGUAACGCGUAGGUAACCUGCCUGGUAGCGGGGGAUAACUAUUGGAAACGAUAGCUAAUACCGCAUAAGAGUAGAUGUCGCAUGACAUUUGCUUAAAAGGUGCAAUUGCAUCACUACCAGAUGGACCUGCGUUGUAUUAGCUAGUUGGUGAGGUAACGGCUCACCAAGGCAACGAUACAUAGCCGACCUGAGAGGGUGAUCGGCCACACUGGGACUGAGACACGGCCCAGACUCCUACGGGAGGCAGCAGUAGGGAAUCUUCGGCAAUGGACGGAAGUCUGACCGAGCAACGCCGCGGGAGUGAAGAAGGUUUUCGGAUCGUAAAGCUCUGUUGUAAGAGAAGAACGAGUGUGAGAGUGGAAAGUUCACACUGUGACGGUAGCUUACCAGAAAGGGACGGCUAACUACGUG